AUGGAGACAGAUACACUCCUGCUAUGGGUGCUGCUGCUCUGGGUUCCAGGAUCCACUAGUGACAUUGUGAUGACCCAAUCUCCUGCUUCCUUGGCUGUGUCUCUAGGACAGAGGGCCACCAUCUCCUGCAGAGCCAGCAAAGGUGUCAGUACAUCUAUGCACUGGUACCAACAGAAACCAGGACAGCCACCCAAACUCCUCAUCAAUGGUGCAUCCAACCUAGAAUCUGGGGUUCCUCCCAGGUUCAGUGGCAGUGGGUCUGGAACAGACUUUGCCCUCACCAUCAAUCCUGUGGAGGAUGAUGAUGUUGCAGACUAUUACUGUCAGCAAGGUAAUGAGUUUCCUCCCACAGUGCUCCAGGGCUGA